rnacentral:rRNA from 1 species
UACGUAGGUGGCAAGCGUUGUCCGGAAUCAUUGGGCGUAAAGCGCGUGUAGGCGGCCCGAUAAGUCCGCUGUGAAAGUCCAGGGCUCAACCCUGGGAUGCCGGUGGAUACUGUCGGGCUCGAGUCCGGAAGAGGAGUGUGGAAUUCCAGGUGUAGCGGUGAAAUGCGUAGAUAUCUGGAGGAAUACCGGUGGCGAAGGCGGCAUCCUGGACCGGCAUUGACGCUGAUGAGCGAAAGCUAGGGGGAGCAAACGGG